rnacentral:rRNA from 1 species
GACGAACGCUGGCGGCGUGCUUAACACAUGCAAGUCGAACGGAAAGGCCCUGCUUGCAGGGUACUCGAGUGGCGAACGGGUGAGUAACACGUGGGUGAUCUGCCCUGCACUUCGGGAUAAGCUUGGGAAACUGGGUCUAAUACCGGAUAGGAGCCAUCUUUAGUGUGGUGGUUGGAAAGUUUUUUCGGUGUAGGAUGAGCUCGCGGCCUAUCAGCUUGUUGGUGGGGUAAUGGCCUACCAAGGCGGCGACGGGUAGCCGGCCUGAGAGGGUGUACGGCCAGCGGUGGGCGAGUGUGCGGGCGGGGCUCGUGGGGGAUGCAGCAGGGGGGAUGGGUGGACAAUGGGCGUAAGCUUGAAGACGUGGGGCCGUGGGGGGGAUGAAGGCCUGCGGGUUGAAAGCUACAUGCGGUAGGGACGAAGCUGUGUUCAGACGGUACCGAAAUAGGAAGCACCGGCUACCUACAGG